AAAUCACUAACCUAUUCUGAGUGAAGUUGGGUUGAUUUGUAAGCUAACAAAGAGCAGCUGAGUUAGAUCUACUAACCUACUGUCAAUCCUGUGGUUGAGGAAUCAUGCCAGGUUACCCUUUACAGUUCUAAAUACACUCCUGGUUUUACUACACGUCUAAUGCAUAGAACAAUAAUUUUUUUUACAUGGGAUUAGGAUUGACAUUCGAACUUCAAUAUGAAAUGUGUUGCUCUUAGUUGAAGCAAUGGAAAAACCACACGAAUCCCAAGAACCAUCACAGUCGCAAGACUCGGCGCAAGAUCACCACACCUGGAUAACUGCACAAGAUAUUCUGAGGGAAAAAUUGAUCACAGAGGACAGUUUCGCAUGGAAAUUAGCCACCACAGGCGCAUCACAAGUUCAAGAGGAAGAAGCAUUGAGAUACGUUGGUGGGGUUGACAUAAGCUUCUCAAAGGAUGAUCCAUCAAAGGCAUGUGGCACCCUUGUAGUGUUGGACUUCCACACUCUUCAACUUGUCUAUCAGGACUUCUCUUUGGUCACUCUUCAAGUCCCUUAUGUGCCCGGCUUCCUUGCAUUUAGAGAGGCCCCAGUUCUUCUACAGCUUCUAGAGAAAAUGAAAAGGAGUGAUAAUCCUUUCUAUCCCCAGUUGUUAAUGGUUGAUGGAAAUGGAAUACUUCAUCCCCGAGGUUUUGGGCUGGCCUGUCAUAUUGGAGUUGAGGCCAAUCUCCCAACGAUUGGGAUUGGAAAGAAUUUGCAUCAUGUGGAUGGUCUUACACAUUCUAGAGUGAGAGAACUUCUUGGAGCUGAUGAAAACUCUUCUGAAGAUUUUAUUAAUUUGGUGGGUUGUUCCGGACGUAUAUGGGGAGCGGCCAUGAUAUCUACACAGGGAUCCAUAAAACCAAUAUUUAUCUCAAUUGGUCACAGGAUUUCUCUGCAUACGGCCAUUAUGAUUGUUCAAAUGACUUGCAAGUAUCGUGUGCCUGAGCCAAUUAGGCUGACAUAAGAUCUAGAGAAUACAUUCGGAAGCUUGAAAUGAAUGCCAAAGUAAAGUAGUUUCACUGAUAUGGUACAUCACUGAUAACUAUCAUUUAUUUCUUCGGUGCGUCUUGAACACCUAAAAUGAUUUCAGCUACACGCUACCAUGAAUUAAGUUAGACACUUUAUUUGUGUAUAAGUGGUCCACCACAAUGUUAAUUUUCAAGUCCAGAGAUGUAAGUGAAUAAAUUCAAGGUUAUGAUUAUGCUUUCAAACCAUAUAUUUCAACGUCCAAAAAUUAUCAUCUAAUACAAUCCUAAUCUUCAACUUUGAUUGAUACAGUGUUUUUUCUGGUGCCUCUCGCCUAAUUUUCGGUCUAAGUUGAAUAAUGACAUAGCUAAGUGAGAUGACAGUAAAAAGUUUGGCUGAAUUGGCUGCAAGGGACGCAAAUGAAUAUGGCAGAACAUCACAAUUCAUCAAGUGGUUAGAAACAAGGCCAGUACCAGUGAAUUUGAUUAUAGCUUCAUUGAAUAGUACAUUUCACCUCAUAGGGUCUACAUAGGGACUUAGCAUCCCAUCCGUUAGUAUAAAUACAUCUAAAUCACACAUGUAAAAGAGUGAUGAGACUAUAUACCACCAAAUCACUCUCGAAAUAGAACUAUAUGCCAACUAGCGUUCUGUGCUGUGUAGAAGUAGAAUUUUCAUUUCUGGAAUUGCUUUGAUUGUGUAGGAUUAGAAGUGUUAGUAACACAUUUUCUAAUAUAUCUUUUGACAUUUUUUUUGGUUAAAA